AGAGCAACGGGUGAUGAAGCUCACCUCUAUAACCGCAUCGAAAGAUGCUGAUGGCUUCUACCAGGGC
rnacentral:ncRNA from 1 species